rnacentral:tRNA from 1 species
GCCCCGUUGGCUCAGUGGUAAAGCGUAUCACUAGUAAACAACCCGGUUCAACGAACUGGUCAACAUGAUAAGAUCACUGGUUCGAUUCCAGUACGGGGCA